rnacentral:rRNA from 1 species
UCGAGCGAAUGGAUUAAGAGCUUGCUCUUAUGAAGUUAGCGGCGGACGGGUGAGUAACACGUGGGUAACCUGCCCAUAAGACUGGGAUAACUCCGGGAAACCGGGGCUAAUACCGGAUAACAUUUUGAACCGCAUGGUUCGAAAUUGAAAGGCGGCUUCGGCUGUCACUUAUGGAUGGACCCGCGUCGCAUUAGCUAGUUGGUGAGGUAACGGCUCACCAAGGCAACGAUGCGUAGCCGACCUGAGAGGGUGAUCGGCCACACUGGGACUGAGACACGGCCCAGACUCCUACGGGAGGCAGCAGUAGGGAAUCUUCCGCAAUGGACGAAAGUCUGACGGAGCAACGCCGCGUGAGUGAUGAAGGCUUUCGGGUCGUAAAACUCUGUUGUUAGGGAAAGAACAAGUGCUAGUUGAAUAAGCUGGCACCUUGACGGUACCUAUCC